rnacentral:rRNA from 1 species
CUACGGGAUGCACCAGUCGCGAAAACUUUACAAUGCACGAAAGUGUGAUAAGGGGAUCCAGAGUGCUUGCCUUCGGGCAGGCUUUUGUUAAGUGUAAGUAGCUUAACGAAUAAGUGGUGGGUAAUACUGGUGCCAGCCGCCGCGGUAACACCAGAGCCACAAGUGGGAAUCAUAAUUAUUGGGCCUAAAGGGCUCGUAGCUGAUUCAAUAAAUCUUUUGUGAAAUUGUUAGACUUAAUCUAACAAUGUGCAAAGGAAACUGUUGAGUUUGAGACCAGGAAGAGACAGAAGUAUUCUAGGGGGAGUGGUAAAAUACUAUAAUCCUUAGAAGACUACCAAUGGCGAAGGCAUCUGUCUAGAAUGGGUCUGACGGUGAGGAACGAAGGCUAGGGGAGCGAUCCGGAUUAGAUACCCUGGUAGUC